ACUGGUUUGUUUCUUAGACCUCAGUAUUCUGGAUUCUUGUUCUUAGUGAAUUUUGUUUUUCCUGAAAUCAUGAUUACCUUUGUCCAUUCUUCUGCCAAUCAUGUGAAAAUACUAGUUAUAGGUCUGUAACUAUCUUUCAUCUGCUGAUUUAAUCUCAUUGCUGAUGCUAUCUUUUUAUUGAAUAGCACUUGUCACCUGUGCUUAGAAUAUUGAUUAUUUUUCCUUCUGUAUGUAGACUUAUUUACAAGAGGUAUAGAUAUUCAAGCAGUUAAUGUUGUCAUCAAUUUUGACUUCCCCAAGAAUUCAGAAACGUAUUUACACAGGGUUGGUCGAUCUGGAAGGUUUGGGCACCUUGGUUUAGCUGUGAAUCUGAUAACAUAUGAGGAUCGGUUCAAUUUGUAUAGAAUUGAACAAGAACUAGGGACAGAGAUAAAGCAGAUCCCUCCACAUAUAGAUCAAGGUAUAUACUGCCAGUGAUAUGUGGUGGUGGCAUCCGUUUUCAUGGUUGAAGGUGGUAAAGCUGCGACAUUUGCCCCACCCCGGAGGUUUACUCGAUCAAAAUUCCGUUGGGGAUUUAUUCGAAAUCGUGUCGUGUUAUUGGUCUCGAAAGACUUGUAUUUGCCUAGUGAUAGAGGCAGAUGAUGCAAGACAUUUGGCGUGUCUUAUUUGGAAUGAUAUUGCCACUGGAUGCCCAGUCGUUUGAGCCUUGCUUAUUUGCUAUUUUUAUGUUGCGUAAAAGUUUGAGCUCUAUGUCAAGAUCUGCUUUUCUGUAUGUUUAAAUCCUAAUAAAAAAUAUUUGCUUCGUCUCUGUUAACAAAGAUUCUGUGGUUAUUUUUGUUAAUCGGUAGUAUUUUCUUUUCUGGUU